GACGAACGCUGGCGGCGUGCUUAACACAUGCAAGUCGAACGGUGAAGCUCCAGCUUGCUGGAGUGGAUCAGUGGCGAACGGGUGAGUAACACGUGAGCAACCUGCCCCUGACUCUGGAAUAAGCGCUGGAAACGGCGUCUAAUACUGGAUACGAGAAGGGUCCGCAUGGGCACUUUCUGGAAAGUUUUUCGGUUGGGGAUGGGCUCGCGGCCUAUCAGCUUGUUGGUGAGGUAAUGGCUCACCAAGGCGACGACGGGUAGCCGGCCUGAGAGGGCGACCGGCCACACUGGGACUGAGACACGGCCCAGACUCCUACGGGAGGCAGCAGUGGGGAAUAUUGCACAAUGGGCGAAAGCCUGAUGCAGCGACGCCGCGUGAGGGAUGACGGCCUUCGGGUUGUAAACCUCUUUCAGCAGGGAAGAAGCGAAAGUGACGGUACCUGGAGAAGAAGCACCGGCUAACUACGUG
rnacentral:rRNA from 1 species